UACAGAGGUCUCAAGCGUUGUUCGGAUUCAUUGGGCGUAAAGGGUGCGUAGGCGGCGCGGUAAGUCGGGUGUGAAAUCCCGGGGCUUAACCUCGGGACUGCAUUCGAUACUGGCGUGCUUGAGGACUGGAGAGGAGACUGGAAUUCAUGGUGUAGCAGUGAAAUGCGUAGAGAUCAUGAGGAAGACCAGUGGCGAAGGCGGGUCUCUGGACAGUUCCUGACACUGAGGCACGAAGGCCAGGGGAGCAAACGGG
rnacentral:rRNA from 1 species